rnacentral:rRNA from 1 species
UACGUAGGGUGCGAGCGUUAAUCGGAAUUACUGGGCGUAAAGCGUGCGCAGGCGGUUUUGUAAGCCAGAUGUGAAAUCCCCGGGCUCAACCUGGGAAUGGCAUUUGGGACUGCAAGGCUAGAGUGUGGCAGAGGGGGGUGGAAUUCCACGUGUAGCAGUGAAAUGCGUAGAGAUGUGGAGGAACACCGAUGGCGAAGGCAGCCCCCUGGGCUAACACUGACGCUCAUGCACGAAAGCGUGGGGAGCAAACAGG